rnacentral:tRNA from 1 species
GCCGAAGUGGUGAAAUUGGUAGACACACCGUCUUGAGGGGGCGGCGGCGCAAGCUGUACCGGUUCGAAUCCGGUCUUCGGCA